rnacentral:rRNA from 1 species
CAGUCAUACCAACGGGAAAUCAACCUUUUGAGCUUGGUCUCGUGGGUUUUGAAGAGUUUCAAAGCCUUCGGAUUCGCGAGAUUGGGAUCUCUUGGCGUACUUUUUCGUACGGUUAGUCAACAUCGGUUUUGAAUGUCAUAAAAUGACUGGAGGAAUGUAGCUUCGAUCUCGUAUUGAAGUGUUAUAGCCUUUGGUAGAUGUGAUGUUUGAGACCGAGGAUUGCAACGGAUACCCUUCAGGGCUAUUCGUCUGAUCUCUGAUACGUUGCCCUAAUGUUGAAAGCUUGCCUAUGAUGUUAGGGUAUUACGGUCAAAAGGUUAGAACGAAUUACA